UAAGUUCAAGCACUACAAGCUUAACCAUUCAAGAAACAUUGUGGCUUUGAUAAACAAAAAGGAAAAAAGAUCCAAGAAAAAUUCAAGAAAUAUGUAAGAUCAUGCUCGCAUAUGAUUAAGUAUAAUGGUAAAUUUGAAUCCUUCAAGAAAGGAGGAGGGACGUCAAGUUUAAACUAAAUAAAGAUUCAAAGAAAGGACAAAAAGCAUAUCCAAUGCUAUAAAUGUGAGAAAUGGGGUCAUUAUGCC
rnacentral:lncRNA from 1 species